UAAUACGUAGGGGGCUAGCGUUGUCCGGAAUCAUUGGGCGUAAAGAGCGUGUAGGCGGCCCGGUAAGUCCGCUGUGAAAGUCGGGGGCUCAACCCUCGAAUGCCGGUGGAUACUGUCGGGCUAGAGUGCGGAAGAGGCGAGUGGAAUUCCUGGUGUAGCGGUGAAAUGCGCAGAUAUCAGGAGGAAC
rnacentral:rRNA from 1 species